rnacentral:rRNA from 1 species
UUGGAGGGCAAGUCUGGUGCCAGCAGCCGCGGUAAUUCCAGCUCCAAUAGCGUAUAUUAAAGUUGUUGCAGUUAAAAAGCUCGUAGUUGAAUUUUGGAUUCUGCCAGUUGGUCCAUCUUUUGAUGAGUACUGAUUGUGUAGGGUCUAUCCGCCUGGUGAUACGUAAUGUACUUUAUUGUAUGUUACGGGUAGUCAGGACCUUUACCUUGAAAAAAUUAGAGUGUUUAAAGCAGGCUUAUGCCGGAAUACAUUAGCAUGGAAUAAUAGAAUAGGACGAAGUUGUUUUAUUUUGUUGGUUUCUAGGACAACCGUAAUGAUUAAUAGGGAUAGUUGGGGGCAUUAGUAUUCAAUUGUCAGAGGUGAAAUUCUUGGAUUUAUUGAAGACUAACUACUGCGAAAGCAUUUGCCAAGGAUGUUUUCAUUAAUCAAGAACGAAAGUUAGGGGAUCGAAGACGAUCAGAUACCGUCGUAGUCUUAACCAUAAACUAUGCCGACUAGGGAUCGGGCGAUGUUGUUUCCAUGACUCGCUCGGCACCUUAUGGGAAACCAAAGUGUUUGGGUUC